rnacentral:lncRNA from 1 species
GUCAAGUUCUGGGUAACUGUGUUGCUUAGAUUACCAGCAUACUCCACUGUCCUCACAUGAGUCACUGUGAUGUUUUGGGAGAGUGGUGCCGGACUAAGAAAUAGCUUCCCUCAGAAAUCCAGACUGGGAUCGAAGUAUGAGAACUCUGAGUCACCUCCACAGCCACUCAGAGAGAGGGCUUGAACUUGGGACCUUAUGCUUGCGAGGCAGGUGGCGGAACCACUGAGCUAAAUCCCCGGCUUGGAUGUAAUAUGUAAUGCAAACAUGUACUAAUAAAAAUUAUUAAAUUUAAUUAAAAAGUUACCUAAAUGCAGAGGCAGCAUUGUUAACACUAUGGCACAUCAAUGUCUCCUUACACUUUUUCUUUGUAUUUAUAAUCAUAUUAUUUUUUAAAAUGUUUGAUAUGGAAUUGGAAUUAGAUUUUUCAGUUUUUUAAGUUUGUUUUUCUCUUGUAAUGAUUAACAUUUUCCUUUGUUGCUAUGUAACCAUUCACAGAAAGAACUUUGGAGCUAAACUGUUUGAAUUUGAAUCUUAGCUGUCACAGUAUGACCCUUGGGCCUAUCCUUUAAUGGAAAUAAUUACUUUAGAUUCCUCAUUUGCAAAAGUCCUAGAUAUAAUACUGUGACAAAUGGUGGAAGAAUGAGACCACCUGAAGAGGCUAAUGGAAGGCAAUGAGGCACAGACUUUAUUCACCUGGGUGCAGGUCAACAGAGUGUGACAAAGCCAUUAGCGGUGAACAAAGAAAAGUCAGAGAGUUUUAUAGGGGAAUGGGGAAGGGGUCUGGCACACCUUUCACAUAUAGGAGUCAGAGCAACUAUUUGUGGUCGGGGCCCAUGUGGUGGUCAAGGCAGAUGUAUGGAUGUUAUCAGGUAACUUGGCAUGGGGAAGAUGUUGUACUCUACUUUGUAGUCUUAUCUCUUUUCUAUAACAUCCCAUUUUGUGUUCUGUCUGCACAGCCUGUGUUGGGGAAGAUGGCAUAGCCUAUAACUGUUUUUUUAGCCACCUGUGUUUUUCUGAGGGCUGCAGUUUUUUGUAUCUGCUAAAAUUGUAGCUUGGAAUUAAACAACAUAUUCAUUAACCAGGUAAUGGCCAGAUCAAGCCUGACAAAUGCACUAUCAUUAAGUAUAGUCCUCAUAUUAGGCAUCUUUCCAUUUGUUCACCCUAUGUAUUUGCUACAGUGUAUUCUGUAACUUACAUCUCUCCAUCCCCCCACCCUUGUAUCUACUAUUAUUUCUUAUCAUUAUAUAUUUAACCUGUUUUACUUUAUAUUUUAUAUAUAAAUGACAUGCAAUAUUUUUCUUUCUGUGUCUAGUUUAUUUAUCAUAAAGUCCUCCAGGUCCAUCACGUUGUGCCAAAUGACAGGAUUGCCUCCUUUUUUAAGGACUUAAUGAUAGUCCAUCGUGUUACCAUGUGAUGAAUUUAGCAGGUAUAUUCCAGGCCAUUGUGUGCAAUGAGCAAUGAAUUGCAAGUGCACACUCAACAGAAAGUUGGAAGCAGCUACACUUGAAGAUCACAAGAAGUUGUGCUCAGGCUGCCAUGGAAUGACUCUGGGCCCAGCUACAGGGAAACAUUAGUGGUUACUCAGUGAACAGUUAGUUCCUGGAGCCUCCAUCUUUUCCAAGCUGGUGAAGAUAAAGAUCCUAUUGGAGACUGAAUGGACAGGUAAUCUGCUUUGAGAAAUAAAUUUCUCACCUUACUACAGCCAGAAAUCCUAACUUCAGAUAUGCAAAUUUAAGAUUAAGUAUUGCUUAGGGCUGCAAAAGAAAAAUCAUAACAAUAGUAUAACUUUUUGAAAAUUGAUAAAUAACAAAUCUAAGUUUUUGUUUAAGUGUUUCAUGUGUAUAUAUAUAUGAUAUGCUAUGUCUGCAUGUGUACUUGUGUUUGUAAAUUGCUUGCAAGGUAAUGAAUUAACUUAAAAAUAAAAGAGCAUAAGUAAUUAAACAAAUGUUUAAAACGUAAAGUAUCUUCAGAAUUAUUAAUGUCAUGUCCAGGGGUGUGCAGCACCCUGUUGCUCUGCAGCCAACCAGGAUUGUAAACUUACCACCAGUAACCAAUUAAAGAAUCCAAAUUUAAAUGGGAAAACAAAAAAGCUUUAUCUGUAAGGAAGAAAAGAAGCAGGGGACAAAAUCUACCUUGUGAGGUUAGGGGCCUAGAUCCAGAUACCAAUGGGUCUCUAUCCUCAGCUUCCUUUUAUCAUGUUUUGGGGGAACACUUCCUUCCUGGCUGAUAUCUGGAACUUGUCACAAUAAGAUUUAUCCUCUGGACUGUCUUAGAUGGAUCCCAGUCCCUAGAACCCUAACCCCCUACUCUAUCACCGAUAUGCACAUUCUUAAGUAGGCCUGCUUGUCCUUGUCAGGACCUUAUCUCUGGAAUUUAUGAGUUGAUUAGGCUGAGUUAGUAAGGGGUAUGCAUGUGUAUUUAGUGCAGUAAUACAGUGACCCUAGGGUGGGAAUAGAUAGAUAAAUAGAUAGAUGGAUAUAGAUGUAUAGGUGUGUGUAUUUUUAUAUACUAAAUAAGAGUCUUCUUUUUUUAAGUGGCUACCCCUUGUCUCUUAUACAUUUUAUUGAUGGUUGGGAGGGGCAGCUAACUUGUGCCCCUUGCUUUGUUUAUUAGCUUUUGUUUGCCUUGUUAACUGUUCUCUGUAGUAAAAUUUUUAACUCUUUCUAAUCAGGAUUAGCCAGAAAGCCCAAUGAAGCCCUCAUUUUAUAUUUUUUCCUGCCUACAGAUCCCUUUCCCCUACAGUUAACAUACAUUUUUUCCAUGUGUUAGCCAAUCAGGAUUAUAGUUUAGAUGUUUGAGACCUUUGUGAUAGCCAACCUGACUCCAUUUUGUGCUUCAUCACCAUUCCUCCCAUUUCUCAUAAAGUUGAGUGAUUCCGAGUGGUUGCCUCCCCAACCUCCUUGGGCAUCCCCUCCAUUGUAUCCCAUUUGGUAAGCAGUUGCAACUAUAUGUUAUCUUUACAACCUUGUAAACAGAAUACUCCACAAUUGUGUGAUAUUUUGUUUCAACUAAACUGUGUGAAACUUCCCCUGACCCCCCUCUAACUUAGCAAAGUUUUGCUCCUGUGAAAUUCUGCUUGCACUCCCCCCUUUCCCUGAGCCCUCCCCAACUAGAAGAGCUGCUUAAAAGAAACCCACAAGCCACUUUUUGUCAAGAGCUUUCAAGCUCGAGCCACUCCCGAAUGCCAGCAGUAAAAGGACUCAAAUUUGGCUCAGAAUGUUGGUGAUUCUCUAUAAUCUCUUGAAAUUGAAUAUAACACCUUAAGUAUACAACUUUUGAGGUAUUUUUCCCCUUUGGCAAAAGAAAUGGCUUGGAACAUUGACUUGUGUUUGUUUGAUAUCUUAUGUUUUCUAAGCAACUUAGAGGUAACUGUUAAAAAAUUAAAUUAAAAUGUAAGUAAAAUAUCUGAGUUAAAAUACUAGCAACAUUUGCCUAUUAUGAAUUCAGGUAUUCUUGGCUUCUUAAAAUCUAUAAAUAAGAAUGUAUUUGAAUCUAUUAAGUGUAUUUCAUAGAUUGUAUACUCUUCUGAUAGAGGACUAAUCUAGAAUAUAUAAACAACCUUUAAAAAAACCUCAAAAAGCAAAUGAGCCAAUCAAAGAAAGAAUAGGCAAAUGAAAUAAAAAAGAAUAGGCAAAUGAACUGAAUAGACCCUUCUCAAAGGAAGAAGUAUAAAUAGCUAAUACAUACAUGAAAAAUGUUCACUAUCUCUCACCAUUUAAGGAAAUGCAAAUCAAAACAACUAGUCAAAAUGACUACCACAAAGAACACAAAAAACAAUAAAUGCUGAUGAGAAUGCUGGGAAAAAGGAAACUCCUAUAUUUCUGGUGAAAAUGUAAAUGAGUACAACUACUAUGAAAAUCACUGUGGAGAUUCCUCAAAAAACUAAAAAAAGAAAUUCCAUUUUGAGAUAGGAAGUUAGGGCUGGGGGAAACCAAACAACCAACAGGGCAAAAUGUGUCAAAGUUCAUAAAAACCUAUGGCUAAUAGGUUGAGAGAGAUGUUACCUAGAAAGAGAAGACAUGUAGAACAUGGGACCCAAAAUGACCCCAGGCUUAUGGUUCCUGAGUAUUGUACCUGGGACCAAUCAGAAAAUGAUAUUCUCAAACUUUCAUUUAAAUCUAGUGCUAUUGUAAGUCCAAUCAUAAAACAUUAUUCACAGUCCUUCAUUUACAUAUGGGUACAACCAAGCAAAAGACAGUUUCUGAUCCUUCACUUAACAUCUGGUAAGAGGCCGUGAGUUUUUAUUUUGAGAGGGCAAUUGUCUAAAUGACUUAUUUGCAUGAGGUGGAAGCCAAUCCAGGUAUUUUUGAUGCUAAAGACCUCAGUCGCUUCAUCCUUGGGGCUUCUGUGAAACUUUUCUCUGGCCUAUUAUUAACUUGCAGAGUUUAUAUCUUUUUCCACCUUCAAUAACAUUAUAUCCUCAUAGCCUUUUCUAUCUUGUCCAAUUAUUUGUUUGGGACACCAAGGACCUAGAGAGAAGCCCUUGGAUCCCUGUCUGGUAACAGUUAUACCUCUUCUGGGUAUGUUCUUGACAGAGUUAAAGACAUCUACUGUAGUGAUACAUGCAUACCAUGUUUAUAGCAGCACAAUUCACUAUAUCUAAGCUUGGAAAGAGCCUAGAUGCCAUCAAUACAUGCAUGGAUAAAAUUUAUCCAUCAAUUGAUAUCAGAGACUGAUCAAUCCUCUGAUCUGCCUAUAGAGGGGGGCAGCAAGUGCUAAAGAAAGAAAGACAACAGAGAUAUAAUUUCAAAGUACAUAGCAGGGGGUGGAGAUCAGUGCCUGAGUAGGCAAAGACAAAAACACUCCAAGCUAGUCCUUAUUCACUGGGUACACACAAUAAUUGGAGAGAGUGUUACGUGACUCAGAGGGCAGCAACAAUCUUAUGUUGAUGAGGGUCUUGCAUUGAUGAAGACAGUGAGAAGAGCAAAGCAUUUUUACAAUAGUAGGUGGGACAAGAUAGCAGAUUAAUAAGGAAUUUGUCCUUCCCCCAGGUGAAACCUUUCUCUUUUUUUAAUUACUACUCAGUUCUCAAAGAACCAAGAUGUCUUUAGCCGAUAUAAUCUUGGUUUUGAGCAUCUCAGCAUUAUAGGACCAUUGAGGUCUCAGCUUGUGACCAGAGAGGUACACAGAAUUAUAUUUCUGCAUACCAUAGCCAGCUCCAGGCAAGGUGACAUUGGGCCUUAGACAGCCCUAAUCAUAAAUUAUGAAAUGGAUUUUCCCCAAAAUUAUAUAGAGUCACUCUUGACAAAUGGAUAAUUCAACCAUAAAGAAGGAUGAAGUCAUCUCAUUUGCAGGAAAAUGGGUGCAACUUGAGAUCAUCAUGUUAAGUGAAAUUAACUUAGGCACAGAGUGCUAGACAUCAUAUGGUCUCUCUUAUAUGAGAACCCUAAAUCAUAAAUAAAUAAAAGUGUACAAUAAAGGAGAUACAGUAGGAAACAAAAAAGCAGACCUUUUGUGGAAGGAGGUAUGGAAGGAGAUCAGGGAAGGGGAGAGUAAGGUAGGGUAGGGAGGAAGCAAGGGGUCAAAAGUGACCAAGAUAUGCUAAAUACAUGUACCAAUUUCCCAAACUGAAUGAAAGCACUAUGCAUUACAAAAAAAUUACUGAUAAUAAAAAAAGAAAAAAAUUAAGUGGGAGAUAUUGAUAAACAAGAUUAAACAUAUUAAAGUAAAGAGACUAGGAAGAUCCAUUUCUGGUAAGAGUAAUGGCUCUUGUAGUAGGGUUACCGGAUUUAACCAAUAAAACUAUAGAACAUAAGUUAAUUUUGAAUUUUGGAUAAACUACAAAUAAUUGUUAUGCAAUAUAUAGGAUGUGUUUCUACUAAAAAUUACUCCUUUAUUAUCUGAAAUUCAAGUUUAAUUGGACACAUUGCAUUUUAUUUGGAAGUGUAAUCUUAAAUUUUCUGCAUAUAUUUCAUCUUCAGGAUAACAAAGUGA